GGGGGCCGGACUCCGUCCAAGCUUUCUUCCUACAAAAACCUCCGGAGUUUACAACGGACAGUGUGUUAACUAGGACAGAGGAACAUGGGCUUAUUAAAGUUAGAGUAACAAUACAAAUGUGUGAAGUCUUUAUACAGAACUUUAAAUUGUUUUUCAUCAUCAAGUUCGUGGAGUCGCUGAGGACAAGUGACCGGCCGGCAUCGGAUGAAGACCUGACACACACCUUUUAAUUUAAUUGUUCAGUGUGUCAAAAUAUGCGAGGAAUGAUGGCUGCUUUUUUAAAUCCUCCUGAAGUACUGCAGAGCUGAGCCGCUGUCUACAAGUUCUCAUGUAAAAGGCGCAGUUCCUCCACCUGCCACGAGGUGGAGCCAGAGCAUCACUGUCACACCGUUUACACUUACAGUAUUACACAUCUGCACCGCAAUGCAAUACCAACCAUUAUGAUGAAUGUAACCAUGUAAGUACACAUUUGGAAUAUGACACAUUUAACAAUGACUUUACUGUAUAUAUGGUAAACAUUUUCACAUAUAGAUGUCAAAUAAAAACCCAUAUGUGUUAUAAUGUAAGUUAAAAUAAUAUAUAUAUUUUUUAACUUAAACUUAAAUAUUUUACCAAAACGAAACAUUCAAAAUUGUAUGAUGAAAUCUUUAAAUUAUAUAAAUAUUUUUUUUCUCCCUAUAAUAAUAUAUAUGUAUGACGUUUAUUUCCCCCUAUUUUAUUUUCAAAUGUAGUUAAAUAAAUUAUGUGAGUUUUUGAGCGUGUCUGAAUUGUUUAUAUAUAUAUUAUUAUUUGUUUCAGUACAGAUUAAAACCUGUAAGAUGUUAUUAUGAUUGGCUGAUGAUUCAAUAAAAUGAAUUAUGAUGACUAAA